UACAGGGGGUACAAACGUUGCUCGGAAUCAUUGGGCGUAAAGCGCACGUAGGCGGUCUGUUAUGUCGGAUGUGAAAGCCCUUGGCUUAACUGAGGAAGUGCAUCCGAAACUGGCAGGCUAGAGUACUAAAGAGGGUCGCGGAAUUCCCGGUGUAGAAGUGAAAUUCGUAGAUAUCAGGAGGAACACCGGUGGCGAAGGCGGCGACCUGGGUAGAUACUGACGCUGAGGUGCGAAAGCGUGGGGAGCAAACAGG
rnacentral:rRNA from 1 species